ensembl:snoRNA Gm55112 small nucleolar RNA SNORD113/SNORD114 family
UGGACCAGUGAUGACAUCUUGUUGGGUAUGAGCCGUGGAUCAUGACAACAGGUCUGGAAGUCUGAGUUCCAC